UCUAAAAUCUUUAUUAAAACUCGUUUGGUGAAUUAUAUUUUCUAAUCACUUGACUACCGAGUUUCUUUAAGGCAUGUAUUAUAUCGGAAUGUUAUGUCUAACAUUUGAUUUCAACUUGUAUUUGAGCACAACUAGUAUUUAUAGUAUAGAGAUUACAAGCAUUUAGGGUAACAACAAGUAACAGAAUUGGUAGUUAUGAUAACAACAAGGUCUUUGAAGAACAAAAGGUAAAUCAACCAUGAAUCAUUAUGGAUACUUUCGUAUACAUCUUUUAAUUUUUUGUGGGAACUAAUGGUCUAUUAUUGUUCUUCUUCCAUGUAUAUAUGUUAAAAUUAAAAUGCCUUUCUUUUGACCGGGGAAUAUGCCUUUCUUGGAGCAUAUGUUAUUUCAUUUUUCUUGGAGCAAAUGUUAUUUCAUUUUUUCUUGGAGCAUAUGCCUAUAUUCAUGCAAAUAUCAUUAAAAAAUAUAUGGAAGAUUCCUUAGUUUGUUGUGGAAAAUUGCAUGUGUUUUUAUAUUUUUGUAACUUUUGCAGCUGAAGAAAGUAGAUUUAGGUAUCAGUGCUCUAUAGAACCGAAAAUUCCAGCUAGAGGUCUAGCUUGAUGAAGGUCUAGCUUGAUGAGAGUAUUCAAGAAGUGGAUAAACUUAAUUCUAGAAUUCAGGAGCUUGAAGCUCAAUUAUGCGAAGAGGAGUGCAAAAGAAUUACUUCAAGAAUAAGGAAAUUUGUUAGAGUUGACAAUCAUGUCACAGUUACAAGAUGAACUGAAGAG